GACAGAGGGGGCGAGCGUUGCUCGGAAUUACUGGGCGUAAAGGGCGCGUAGGCGGGGGUUCAAGUCGGUCGUGAAAUCUCCGGGCUCAACCCGGAGGGGUCGGCCGAAACUGGAUCUCUUGAGGGAGGCAGAGGAGUCUGGAAUUCCCGGUGUAGCGGUGAAAUGUGUAGAGAUCGGGAGGAACACCGGUGGCGAAGGCGGGACUCUGGGCCUACCCUGACGCUGAGGCGCGAAGGCGUGGGGAGCAAACGGG
rnacentral:rRNA from 1 species